CCUACGGGUGGCAGCAGUGAGGAAUAUUGGUCAAUGGGCGAGAGCCUGAACCAGCCAAGUCGCGUGAGGGAGUACUGCCCUAUGGGUUGUAAACCUCUUUUGUCGGGGAGCAAAAGCCGGACGUGUCCGGCUGUGAGAGUACCCGAAGAAAAAGCAUCGGCUAACUCCGUGCCAGCAGCCGCGGUAAUACGGAGGAUGCGAGCGUUAUCCGGAUUUAUUGGGUUUAAAGGGUGCGCAGGCGGAUUUUUAAGUCAGCGGUAAAAUCGUGGGGCUCAACCCCAUCCAGCCGUUGAAACUGGGGAUCUAGAGUGUGCGAGAGGUAUGCGGAAUGCGUGGUGUAGCGGUGAAAUGCAUAGAUAUCACGCAGAACACCGAUUGCGAAGGCAGCAUACCGGUGCACAACUGACGCUCAGGCACGAAAGCGUGGGUAUCGAACAGGAUUAGAUACCCCUGUAGUC
rnacentral:rRNA from 1 species